UACGUAGGGUGCAAGCGUUGUUCGGAAUUACUGGGCGUAAAGCAUGCGUAGGCGGCUUGAUAAGUUAGAUGUGUAAUCCCUGGGCUCAACCCAGGAACUGCGUCUAAGACUAUCUCGCUAGAAUAUGGUAGGGGGUAGUGGAAUUCUUAGUGUAGGGGUAAAAUCCGUAGAUAUUAAGAGGAACACCAGAAGCGAAGGCGGCUACCUGGGCCAUUAUUGACGCUGAGGCAUGAAAGCGUGGGGAGCAAACAGG
rnacentral:rRNA from 1 species